ACGUCAAACCCAAAACGCGUCUGAAGCGGAACACUGUGAACCCGGGCCGUGACGAGGAGCUGAAUUAGAGGAGGAAAGUGGCUAAAAAGCUCUGAGGAAGUUGCUGACUGAGGCAGUUGUGUGGAUCAACUCUCUCAGCUCUGAAGCCGCUCAGUGAUAUUUAAAAUCUUUAAAGAGGAACAAAUGUGCAGAUGUGUGAAGAGGACAGCUGCUUCUUUUUGGUCUCCGAACACAUUCUUUCAGCAGCCUUCCUCUAAGCCGGGGAGAGUGGUCUUCUUGAUCCCGCGGAAGCCGUUUGAAGAGUUUCAGUCCCUCUGCCCGCUCUGACUGACAGCCGAGCUCCGCUGGCCCGUCCCUGGCCUGAAUCCCCCGGCUUUGGGCCUCUGCAGCCGGCUCUCAUCCAGGCCUGAUCCCACAGAGGAAAGCCGCAAUGCCGUCAGGACGGAUUUGACAGUCCUCGCUCAUCCCAGGGAUGUCCAAAGUGCUUUCACAGUGGGUGAACGAACCCCCUCCCACCCUUGCUCCCCGCUGCCCCGGCCAACUGGUGUGUGACAAACACCAGGUGGUGCCUGAACAAAAACUCGGCAUGACCAGAUACCGCAGAAGUGAGCAUGUGUGUCAGGAGACAGACAGGACAUUGACUGGGUCAGGAAGUGGCUGGAGUGUGUAGACAGAGGAGUGGGAGCUGAACUUCAUUGAUAAACCUUUUCCAGUCCCCGACGAGGAAGGAAGCGGUGCAGGCUGCGGGGAGGGAGACGCUAUGGAUCCAGUAUUGGGACAGGAGUCCAGCCACUGCCAGCCAUUGAUCAGGAUCACGAUCAAUCAGGAAACCAUCGAGCAGCCUGCUCCAAAAAUAGAGUGCAAAAAGCACCUGAGAGCGAGCAGUGAACAGGGUCAGCCCGGAGUCACAGCUGACCGCCCGAGGACAAUCGUCCCCUCUCGCUCGGAUCGCUCGAGGCAGGAAGUGGAUCAGAGAGCUGCUGUAAACCCUCAGAGAUGUGUUUCAUAAUGGAGCGUACAGGUUUAUGCCACUUGAACUCUGACCCUCAAACGUUAUUGACAUGUUCCCUUGUUUACGGGUCAAAUCCUCCCCCCUGGAGCCAGAGAUCUUUCAGCUUAAUGCACCAGCUUGUGAACCAGUGUCGCUGUAACAUAUUCCUAACAUUUGUGGGAGAGAGAGUGGA